rnacentral:rRNA from 1 species
AUUGAACGCUGGCGGCAAGCCUAACACAUGCAAGUCGAACGAGUGGCGGACGGGUGAGUAAUGUCUGGGAAACUGCCUGAUGAAGGGGGAUAACUACUGGAAACGGUCGCUAAUACCGCAUACCAUCGGAUGUUCCCAGAUGUGAUUGGCUAGUCGGUGGGGUAAAGGCUCACCUAGGCGACGAUCCCUAGCUGGUCCGAGAGGAUGACCAGCCACACUGGAACUGGGACACGGUCCAGACUCCUACGGAAGUCGGCAGUGGGAAAUAUUGCACAAUGGGCGCAAGCAUGAUGAAGCCAGGCCGCGUGUAUGAAGAAGGCCUGCGGGUUGGAAUGUACUUUCAGCGGGGAGGCGUUACCCGCAGAGGAAGCACCGGCUAACUCCGUGCCAGCAGCCGCGGUAAUAC